rnacentral:rRNA from 1 species
UGUACACACCGCCCGUCACACCAUGGAAGCUGGUCACGCCCGAAGUCAUUACCUCAACCGCAAGGAGGGGGAUGUCUAAGGCAGGGCUAGUGACUGGGGUGAAGUCGUAACAAGGUAGCCGUACCGGAAGGUGUGGCUGGAUCACCUCCUUA